rnacentral:rRNA from 1 species
UGGGGAAUCUUGGACAAUGGGCGCAAGCCUGAUCCAGCCAUGCCGCGUGAGUGAAGAAGGCCCUAGGGUUGUAAAGCUCUUUCGGCGGGGACGAUAAUGACGGUACCCGCAGAAGAAGCCCCGGCUAACUCCGUGCCAGCAGCCGCGGUAAUACGGAGGGGGCUAGCGUUGUUCGGAAUUACUGGGCGUAAAGCGCACGUAGGCGGGUCGUUAAGUCGGGGGUGAAAGCCCUCGGCUCAACCGGGGAACUGCGUUCGAUACUGGGAGACUUGAGUCCUGGAGAGGGUGGCGGAAUUCCGGGUGUAGGAGUGAAAUCCGUAGAUAUCCGGAGGAACACCGGUGGCGAAGGCGGCCACCUGGACAGGUACUGACGCUGAGGCGCGAAAGCGUGGGGAGCAAACA